GCCCUCGUCGUUCAACGGAUAGGACGCGAGCUUGCGGAGCUCGUGAUAGGGGUUCGAUUCCUCUCGAGGGCA
rnacentral:tRNA from 1 species